UCUCUGGUAGUUCAGUGGUUAAAACUCCGCACUCCUGAUGCAGGGGGCCCAGGUUCGAUCCCUGAUCAGGGAA